rnacentral:lncRNA from 10 species
UCUUCUUCUGGAUUAUUGCAGUUUUGGUUUGUUUGUUUGUUUUAUGGGGUUUUCUUUUUUUUUUUAGUAUGGAUUUUGUACCCUGUUAUUUGUUUUUAACUAUGACUUUGUUUCAUUUAUUUAUUUUUGGUGAGUUGUUCAGAAAUUAUAAAUACUUAAUGUAUAUUAAAUAUCAUAACACUGUAUAUAAAAUAUAAAAACCUUACCUUACCAUCCUCUCAUCUUUUGUGCCAUGUUGUCAUAGAUUUUUCUUCUGUACGUGUUGUAAUUCCUGGAGGAUGUCAUUAAAACAGUGAUUUCCCCUCCACAUAUUUACUAUUUUUGGCACACUUUCAUCUUUUCUGUGAACUAGAAUUUCCAAUUAUUAUUUUUCUUCAUCCUGAACAAGUUUCUUUUGCAUUUAUCGUGGUUUGGGCGUGAUGGCAACACAGUCUCACAGACUUUCUUUAACUGAAAAUGUACUUUUCUCAACUUCAGUUCUGAAGGCUGCUUCAGCAGGUUCAGAAUUCUAGGGACACUUUCGACUUUGAACAGCAUCUCUGGGUACCAUCUAACAUAUUAUUAUAUCCAGUUGUGUCAAAUCUGUCAUCGGCCAUAGAACCCUUUGACAGGUGCUUCUUGUUACUUCAAUUCUAAGUAUUUCAUAGUCUUCAGAGACAUGGAGAAGUAGCAGUGCUAGUAACAGUACUAGUAAAACCAGGUUAAGCCCUAAAAUAAUUAAGAAGCCAUUGCAGGCACACACAUGAAUGUUUGACUUCAGCUAAAAUGCUUUCAAAUGUACUAUUCUAUCUUUAUACAAGGCCAUAACACAAAUUAAAAUUUUAAAAAUACUUUCACUUUACGUAUGUGAAAACUGCAGCUCAAAGAAUUUAAAAGACAUGACUGAAAUCCCAUAACCAGGUAAAGAUGGUCUAAUCUGGAGCCCGCAUGUCUCGGUCCCCCCACGCCCUGUUACAGAGAGUGCGAGGCUUCACCAGGAAGCUCUUUCGGCUCAAGGAUUAGCUCUGGGGAAGUGCAGCAGGCAGGCCUGCUUUGCAACCUUUCUUCCAGCAGAAAUCCAAUGUUUGUUCACAUUUCUAGUUCUUUUUGUUUUGUUUUGUUUCUUAUCAGUAUGGCUCUGGGAGUUAUUUACAAAAUUUAAUUUUAAAAGUGACAGUCCGCAUCAUUAGGGUUCCUUGGAAACUUAUGAAAAAAAUAAAUAAAUACUGGUAGAUAAGAAAUUUCUGCAAAAUUGUUAGUUAUAUGUGUAAUAUAUCUAAUCGUAACUAAAGAAACAUGUGUAUUACAGUAAUAAUUUAAUUUAUUAUUGUCAUUUUCUUGCCAGAUAUGAGGGCAUUUUUUUAAGCUCUCCACACGUGGUUUACUGUGGACCAAACACUGGCAGCUUCAGGCUUACAAUGUGCUGACAAAUCCUUCUUAGUUCGUUCACUUUGAAGAAUGUGAGCAUGCACUGUUCAUGUGCCUGGCAAGCAUGUAACCUGCUCAGGAGAAGGACAGUGUCCACUCAGGUCAUCAGGUGAACUUGUGAUGAGGCCAUCAAUAGGCUGCACGUGUGCUCCAGAAAAUGAAAUUCCCACUAUCAACCUAUUUUCCAUUUCCACCCAAUGGCCCGCCCCUGCUCCAAAGCCAUGUCUCCACCUCUUAGGAAUGCUUGAUUUUCAGCAUUGCUGAACAGGGGUCAAAGAAAACAAACUGAACAAACAAACAAAUGAAGCCUUUAACCCGGGAGCAAAGACACAGCACCUCCCCACUCCACAACAGCUCCAGAGCUGCACAGCUGCUGCCAGAGCCUGAGCACAGGCCUGAGCUCUGGCCCAUGGAUCUCACCAAUGCAUUUCUUCUCCAUGCCAAAAAAAGUAUCCAUAAAUGGGAUUCAUUUACUUGGGACAUAAAAUAAUGUAUACCUAUAGUUUUCUCCCAGAACUGUGUAAACCGGCAUGCUGUCUGCCACAAUACAGUCCUCACCCUGCAUCAGGAGCUCAGAUGGGGGAAGCCAGCAGGGCUGCAGGCCUGAGAGUCACAGGCUGCUCCUCCAUGGGACCUGCGGGCAGAAAAAUGGGUACCACCUGGACCAUGGUGUCAGCAGGAGCAGAGCUGUGCUGCCUGGGGAAGGAGGGGCUCCACGCAAGUACCUCCCAGUACACAGCAUUUGAUGGCAUGUGGACAAGUGCAGGAGCCCUAGACCAAGGACUCUGAGGCUCAAGCUCAUCACUGAGAUCAUCCUUUGUAUGACGAUCCAUGAGGCCACCGUGAACAGCAUGGAUGCACCCAGGUCACAGAGGGGCCCUCUUCAUCCUGGAUGAGGAGCCCACAGUGUCCAUUGCCCCUCAGUCAGAAUAAAAUCAAGACAAAAGCAAUCAGAAGACCCAUACACCAUGAGGCUGAGCCAUUUUUCAAAGAUGUCAAAAUAGGAAAAUAAUAAAAUGGAAGAAAACCCAGAAUCCCAUCCCCUGACUUGCUCCAGAGGCCUCCCCAACUCCAGGCCACCAGGAGCAGGGGCCCUGCAGAGGAACUCUCCCUGGGUAGAAAUUCGCUGGUUUUUGCCUUCCACCAGAUGUUGGCAACUUCAAUUUCAUCUUUUUUGGCAUUAGAGCUAACGUUAAAAUGACUCAGGUCAAAAAAGAGUGAUGUGCUGCAGCCCUGACAAUGCUCCCAGUGAGAAUUUGUGCAAAACUCUUCCCUGGAUCUACAAAACUAGGGCCAGGCAGGGUGUUGGGGCUGUGACGACUGCAUCUCUGCCUCCUCCUCUCUGCAGUGUGGCCUCUUCACAGGCAGAGCAUUCAUUCCUCUUUAGCUUCUCACCAGCCCAGGAUGCAGGGAAGAAGUAGCUUAUCAGCACAGUCUUGGAAUACUUUUACUUUACCAGCUGGGCUCCUAUGAACAAUGUGUCCAGCUAUAGGUAAACAAUGUGUGCAAAUAAUGUGAGAGUGACCGCACCGUGUCAGGACCAUGCAAGAAGCUGGCCAGAGGCACAAGCAGCAGAUGGGAUGCUGAUGGGGGUGACCAAAAUACAGUAUGGGGCAGCUGCGUGCCACGAUCAAUCUGCAGGGGUAGGGGAAAAAAUAACUCUGGGCCUGGCUAACAUUUGCAUGUGAGAACAUUGACCCAAGUCCCCAGGAGAACGUUGAAGAGAACCACGGUUUAUUGUCAAAGGGAAAAGUAACCACAGAGUUUUCUUUCUGGUUCUAAGCAGAUGGGAGGGGUGUAGCCUGCAGAACCAAGGGUGUGGGGGUCCUAGAAUGUUGGUGGUGGUUGUUCAGCAAAGGGCUUCGCUUCUCAGCCUGCAGAACUUCCCGCCUGUGAGUGUGGGUUACAUCUAUACAUACACAGGAAAUCAUAUACUCCCACUCAGCCACCCACAUCUAAACAUGGUAGUAUUAGGAAAAAUAGGAAAGCAACAUCCUACUAGAUUACAUUGUUUACAGUGAAACCAUUUAAACCCCUGAGCCUCUGUGUCACCAAUUAACACUGCGUGUAAGGAGAAUGCCUGCCCCGUGGUGGUUUGUAAAGACAAAAUGUAAAAAUAAAAUGUAGGCUGGGUGCGAUGGCUCAUGCCUGUAAUCCCAGCACUUUGGGAGGCCGAGGGCACGGAUCACGAGGUCAGGAGAUUGAGACCAUCCUGGCUAACAUGGUGAAACCCUGUCUCUACUAAAUAAAUAAAUAAAUAAAUAAAUAAAUAAAUAAAUAAAUAACAAAUAAUAAAAUUAAAUGUAGAGUGCUUGGUAAACUAAAGUUCUAAAUAAAUAUUAGUUGUUACUAUUAUUAUGUCAGAAGUACUAGUCACAAGACUGGAAUACUUCACUUGAAUAAGAACUCAGUGCAAAGAGGUUGGAUAAAUUGGUGAGUUUGAAACUGCAACAGGACUAAAAAUAUGCCAAUUAAUUUAUUAAUGUAUUCAUAUUUAUUAACUUAUUUAUAUUCAAAUGAAUUAAAUAUUUAGUGCAUGCUUGGACCUGGGAGCACACAGCCAUCAGUGCCACAUGAACUCUGUCCUCACUGCAGUUGUUUUCAGAUGACCUCAGAGGAAAAUAAGAGGGAAACCACUGGCGAUUUCCUUCCGUUGAUACCUUAGCUGACUACAUAGCUCAUGUUAGGUCGGUCUUAAUGAGGAAAUCAGAAUAUUCGGGGCUUCAGUAUUAAAACUACAAAUCUCUAUAGCAAGCAUUCAGAGCUCUUUGGAUUAGACAUCAGUGGCUGCAGUAAUGUUACCUGAGAAACCCACACACUUUCUGAACACUGGCAUGAGUAUCCUUUCCUUUCGGGCCACUAUAUAUGGAAAAACACUUUCACCCAUCACCCUAAGUGUCCCAAACUGCAGAAGAGGCAGAUAGUAGCCAGCUAGUCCCUGUCAAAGGCCCAUUGCCCUUUUCUGGGUCAGCCUGGUCCACCCAGCCUGAGGUGCUCUCUGAGACAGCCUAGCCACCACGCCACAUGCCCUUCAGCCUAAUCAGAGCAUCAGGAUGCUGUGCACGGCCAUUAGCUGGGAUGACUCAGAAUUAUCUGCUGUAGAACACUGCUCCGAGUGAAGGAUGUGGUCACUCAGACCACGUAGAUGGUUCAAGCUCUUAAUCCUCUGUCAGCUCAGUGCCUUCACAGUGGAAAGGAAGUGCAUCUAUUGAUUUCUUGGCCAAAAGAACAAGUUAAUACAUUUUUAAAAAUUUUGACAUUUUGUCUUAAAGCAACAGUGGGCCUUGUUUAAGUAAAAUCUCAUUUCUCCAGCCUAAUUUUGCUGGAAAGGCCCCAAACCAAGGCAAGCCCCUGGGGGAGAGAGAGCAGCUAGGAUGCUGACACCAGAUGGCUUUGUUCCCCAGCCUUCAAUAUACUCAGUUACAAAAUAACCACAUCAGAGGUUUGAUAAGAUUAUCCCCCAGGCCAUUUUUCAGGUCUAAAUGUUACCGUAUUUUAUAUAAGAAUACAGUAUUUGAAUCAAUUCUCAGGGGACGCAGCCUUCAGGAGACACUGAAGGAAUACAGACAUUUUUUCUAGCCUCAAAAGCAUGGUUUGCAAACUGGCUUGUUCUUUGUCGGAGAAAACCACACACGUGGCCAUUGACGCCCUUGGUUGGCAGAGUUGACGGGAUUUUCU